ACUUCUGCAACUCUCAGUGGGUAGAGCAUGAGACUCUUAAUCUCAGGGUCAUGGCUUCAAGCGCCACGUUGGGAGCG
rnacentral:tRNA from 1 species